AUGAACGCUGGCGGUGUGCCUAAUACAUGCAAGUCGAGCGAACAGACGAGGAGCUUGCUCCUCUGACGUUAGCGGCGGACGGGUGAGUAACACGUGGAUAACCUACCUAUAAGACUGGGAUAACUUCGGGAAACCGGAGCUAAUACCGGAUAAUAUAUUGAACCGCAUGGUUCAAUAGUGAAAGACGGUUUUGCUGUCACUUAUAGAUGGAUCCGCGCCGCAUUAGCUAGUUGGUAAGGUAACGGCUUACCAAGGCAACGAUGCGUAGCCGACCUGAGAGGGUGAUCGGCCACACUGGAACUGAGACACGGUCCAGACUCCUACGGGAGGCAGCAGUAGGGAAUCUUCCGCAAUGGGCGAAAGCUUGACGGAGCAACGCCGCGUGAGUGAUGAAGGUCUUCGGAUCGUAAAACUCUGUUAUUAGGGAAGAACAAAUGUGUAAGUAACUAUGCACGUCUUGACGGUACCUAAUCAGAAAGCCACGGCUAACUACGUG
rnacentral:rRNA from 1 species